GCAUCCAAAGGUGUAAGAUUUCAUUUUUAUUUUUCUUGUUUUAUUUUUUAAAAAUGAAGAGACUUUUAUCAACUAAUCUAGUUGGCGGGCUCUCCCUAAUAAUAAUCAUACAUAUAUAUAGUUGAUGGGCUCUCACUAAUAAUAAUCAUACAUCCAUAUACAUGCACAUACAUACAUAUAUACACACAUAUAUAUAGAGACAGAGAUGAUUAUUAUAACUGUUAUGGUAU
rnacentral:lncRNA from 1 species